rnacentral:rRNA from 1 species
AGAGUUUGAUCCUGGCUCAGGACGAACGCUGGCGGCGUGCCUAAUACAUGCAAGUUGAACGCUGAAGCUUUAACUGAUGCUUGCAUCGACCUAAGUUUUCAGAGUAGCGGACGGGUGAGUAACACGUGGGUAACCUGCCCAUCAGAGGGGGAUAACACUUGGAAACAGGUGCUAAUACCGCAUAAUUCCUUUUACCGCAUGGUAAAAGGCUGAAAGACGCUUCUGGUGUCACUGAUGGAUGGACCCGCGGUGCAUUAGCUAGUCGGUGGGGUAACGGCCUACCGAGGCAAUGAUGCAUAGCCGACCUGAGAGGGUGAUCGGCCACAUUGGGACUGAGACACGGCCCAAACUCCUACGGGAGGCAGCAGUAGGGAAUCUUCGGCAAUGGACGAAAGUCUGACCGAGCAACGCCGCGUGAGUGAAGAAGGUUUUCGGAUCGUAAAACUCUGUUGUUAGAGAAGAACAAGAGAAGUAGUAACUGGCUUCUCCUUGACGGUAUCUAACCAGAAAGCCACGGCUAACUACGUGCCAGCAGCCGCGGUAAUACGUAGGUGGCAAGCGUUGUCCGGAUUUAUUGGGCGUAAAGCGAGCGCAGGCGGUCUUUUAAGUCUGAUGUGAAAGCCCUCGGCUUAACCGAGGAGGGUCAUUGGAAACUGGGAGACUUGAGUGCAGAAGAGGAAAGUGGAACUCCAUGUGUAGCGGUGGAAUGCGUAGAUAUAUGGAAGAACACCAGUGGCGAAGGCGGCUUUCUGGUCUGUAACUGACGCUGAGGCUCGAAAGCGUGGGGAGCAAACAGGAUUAGAUACCCCGGUAGUCCACGCCGUAAACGAUGAGUGCUAAGUGUUGGAGGGUUUCCGCCCUUCAGUGCUGCAGCUAACGCAUUAAGCACUCCGCCUGGGGAGUACGACCGCAAGGUUGAAACUCAAAGGAAUUGACUG